rnacentral:tRNA from 1 species
GGGCCUGUAGCUCAGUUGGUAGAGCGUGUCGUUCGCAACGACGAGGUCGCCGGUUCGAGCCCGGCCAGGUCCA